rnacentral:pre_miRNA from 1 species
AAAGGGAUAGCUGGGUCAAAUGGCGGUUCUAUUCCAAGUUUUCCAAGGAAUCUCCAUACUGCUUUCAAGAUUGGCUACACCAAUUUGCAGUCCCACCAGCAAU